rnacentral:rRNA from 1 species
GACAGAGGUGCCGAGCGUUAGGCGGAAUCACUGGGCUUAAAGCGUGUGUAGGCGGCCCGUUAAGUGUCUUGUGAAAUCCCCCGGCUCAACCGGGGAACUGCUGGGCAUACUGGCGGGCUUGGGCCACUCAGGGGCAGACGGAACAGGCGGUGGAGCGGUGAAAUGCGUAGAUAUCGCCUGGAACGCCGAAGGUGAAAACAGUCUGCUGGGGGUGUGCCGACGCUGAGACACGAAAGCCAGGGGAGCGAACAGG